rnacentral:tRNA from 1 species
UAAUAAGAAGCUAUAAUAGCAAUCAGUUUCGACCUGAUUUAUAGGUAAAUUACCCUUAUUAU